AAAUUAGUCUUAGGGCAAGUCUCUAUUGGCAGGUGCUAUGAUGAUAUUUCAUUUGAUUAAUUAAGAGAUUUGGAUAUUCAUUUGCCAAAGGAGAGCUGCCCUAUGAUUGUUUA
rnacentral:pre_miRNA from 1 species